rnacentral:lncRNA from 1 species
CAGCGACAGCUGGCGCCCAACGUGGGGCCUCUCGCGAGUCGUGGAGACCCCCGGAGAGGUUGGUGGAUCUACAAAUUUCAGUGGAUUUCACAGAGACCGUGAGCGGCAGCUGCUCUGGUAGUAGCAGACUCGUUUUUGCCGAGUUGUGCUCCCAGAGGUCGAGGCGGCAGCCGUCAGAUGUGCAGACGGUCGCCUCGGGAGAUGUGGACGUCGCCUGCAACAGUUGUCCGGACUUGGGUGAGUGGUCCCUGUGUGUGGGACGAGGGGGCGCCCAGUGUGUGAAAACUCCCUCGGGGGGGAGUGUGUGUGUAGCCCGGUCCGGACCCGUGUUUUUAUUUCGUUGAUUUGUCGUUUGGUUGCAGGGGGCGGUGGGAUUGCUGUGCCAGGGCUGAUAAGAUGGGAGCACGUCUUUCGGCACAGCAAAAGAGAGUUUUUUACCAAGUUGUGGGCACCCUUGAGGGGGGGAAUAAGAAGUUUUCUCGUGGGAGGGUAAAGAGGUUUGUGAGAUGGCUGUUCCUGCAUUUCCCAAAUGUGACCCCAGACAGAGCAAAUUCUGUAGAAUUCUGGAAUGCAGUCGGAUCAAAAUUAACGGAGAUAGUUAAUGGAGGUGAUAAUUCCGUUGAAAAAUUUGUAACAUUAUUUAUUUUAAUUCGGUCGGCUGUAAUAGAAGAAAAGAAAAUGCAGGAGCAGCUGCCACAAAAUUCCCCAGUUUCCCCAGUUUCCCUAUCCCCAUGUUCCUCUCCCCCUGAUCCCGAGUUGAGGGAGACCUGCAGAGCGACCUGCAGGGCAAGUUGUCCUGUUCAGGGAUCCCCCAAGGGUAACAGGAUCCCUGGCUCCCCACGCCUCUCUCAGAACUUAUGCCCUGGCAGCCCUGGCCAAGCUUCCAGGGUGUCUUCCCAUUCCUCAGUUUCCCCAGUUAGCAACCCUCAGUUAAACAUUUCCCAGGUUACAAGUCCCCAGUUUUUACCCUCAGACCCCCAUGCCUCAGUUUCCCCCAGUCUCCAAGGCUCCUCCAUAUUCCCUGAUUCCUCUUCUAACCCCCGUGCCUCAGUUUCCCAAGGCUCCUUCAUAUUCCCUGAUUCCUCUUCUAACCCCUGUGCCCAGUUUCCCAAGGCUCCUUCAUAUUCCCUGAUUCCUCUUCUAACCCCCGUGCCUCAGUUUCCCCCAGUUUCCAAUGCUC